AAGGAUUGUGGAGCACAUUUCAAUCAUUUUAGGAUUGUCAAAAGGAGGAUUGAGGAGGAUCAGAUCAAUAAUGGAGGCAAUGGUUUGGAUUGGAGAGGGCUCACUGGAUCCCAAUCCUUGGAGCUGGAUCAUUGGAUUCAAAUCAUAAUGUGGAUAGGAUAGGGAGGAUGAAUUACCAGGAUUCAUGGAGCGGGAUCAGAUUACCAGGAACAUAGGAGUGGAUUCCUUCCUGCCCCAACCAAACCGCAUUCGUGUGGAUUUUUUUUCAUUCAACUUAAUUGGCUAUUCCAAAGAAUUUUUUUCCUAUUUUUGACGAUUGGAGCCCUUAAGAUGCACGAUGGAAUUGUGUUUUGCAUUUUUUGGUAAAAGGAGCAAAGCGAGGACCUGGAGAUAUACGCUGGAGCAAUCUCCUUGGAAGGAUUCAGCACGAGUAGAUGGUAAACAUUUAAAGGGGAAAAGGGGGGGUUUGCUUUAAAUAGUAAAUCAGUAAGUCACUUCUAAAUUUAAAGAAAACAAAAUUGGAGUUGAAGAAUAAGUAGGUUUCCAAUUGGCUAUUGCCAUUUUUCUUUGAAAAAAUAAACAUUUUUUAAAAAA
rnacentral:lncRNA from 1 species